rnacentral:rRNA from 1 species
GACGAACGCUGGCGGCGUGCUUAACACAUGCAAGUCGAACGGUAAGGCCCUUCGGGGUACACGAGUGGCGAACGGGUGAGUAACACGUGGGUGAUCUGCCCUGCACUUCGGGAUAAGCCUGGGAAACUGGGUCUAAUACCGGAUAGGACCACUGCCUGCAUGGGUGGUGGUGGAAAGCUUUUGCGGUGUGGGAUGGGCCCGCGGCCUAUCAGCCUGUUGGUGGGGUGAUGGCCUACCAAGGCGACGACGGGUAGCCGGCCUGAGAGGGUGACCGGCCACACUGGAACUGAGAUAUGGCCCAGACUCCUACGGGAGGCAGCAGUGGGGAAUAUUGCACAAUGGGCGCAAGCCUGUUGCAGCGACGCCGCGUGAGGGAUGACGGCCUUCGGGUUGUAAACCUCUUUCAGCACCGACGAAGCGCAAGUGACGGUAGGUGCAGAAGAAGGACCGGCCAACUACGUGCCAGCCGCCGCGGUAA